AGAGUUUGAUCAUGGCUCAGAGUGAACGCUGGCGGCGUGCCUAACACAUGCAAGUCGAGCGCGAAAGGGUAGCAAUACCUGAGUAAAGCGGCGAACGGGUGAGUAACACGUGGUUAACCUACCGAGAUGUGGGGGAUACCCCGGAGAAAUUCGGGACAAUACCGCAUACAGUCUUCUGGACGUCGGUUCGGAAGAGCAAAGCCGGGGAUCGUAAGACCUGGCGCAUUUCGAGGGGACCGCGGCCGAUUAGCUAGUUGGCGGGGUAAUGGCCCACCAAGGCUUCGAUCGGUAGCCGGCCUGAGAGGGUGAACGGCCACACCGGAACUGAGACACGGUCCGGACUCCUACGGGAGGCAGCAGUGGGGAAUUUUGCGCAAUGGGCGAAAGCCUGACGCAGCAACGCCGCGUGGAGGAUGAAGGUUCUCUGAAUCGUAAACUCCUGUCGGCCGGGAAGAACUGGCAGAGUGCUAAUCAGCUCUGUCUUGACUGUACCGGCAAAGGAAGCCCCGGCUAACUCCGUGCCAGCAGCCGCGGUAAUACGGGGGGGGCAAGCGUUACUCGGAAUUAUUGGGCGUAAAGGGCGCGUAGGCGGUCGUGUGCGUCGGAGGUGAAAUCCCCAGGCUUAACCUGGGAACUGCCUCCGAUACGGCAUGGCUUGAGUCCGGGAGAGGGGAGCAGAAUUCCCAGUGUAGCGGUGAAAUGCGUAGAUAUUGGGAGGAAUACCAGUGGCGAAGGCGGCUCCCUGGACCGGUACUGACGCUGAGGCGCGAAAGCGUGGGUAGCAAACAGGAUUAGAUACCCUAGUAGUCC
rnacentral:rRNA from 1 species